CUACAUAAAACGUAGAUCGAAGAGACCGGGACAAGUCUUCGGAGAACCGUCUUGGCUCUCGGUACUUCGUUGGUUCCGACUGAUUGCAGACUUUGCUUCUACUCUUUUUCUCUUGGAACAUCCAGAAUGGGUAGCUGUCGACUUUUGAUGUUGGCAAUGAUGGUGUGUUCCGUGUUUUCUUCCACCCAAGUCCACUACCGAACAGCUCGACAAACAUCUUCGGAAAUAUGCCACAACUGGUGUGGCGAACCUCCUAAUCUGGAGUGCUGUGAUCCGGUGACUCGUUGUGACCAUUGGUGUGGUAUCCCUCCCGAUCUCUAUUGCUGUGACGCCGCCAUAGGGAAGUGACCCGUUAACAGCCAAAUUCCCGUAGCAGACUGAAGCCUUUUGGCCUCCUCCAGUACUGGAUGCAUUUCUACAUAGGACCAAAACUCAAGAGAAAUGCAAUUUGAAAAAAUAUAAAUAUUUGUAAUUUCAGCCUGUGAAUUGUACGCGUAUGCAAUAAAGGACACACGGAUAGCAAAUCUGUUGAUGUGGGUACGUUGUUUGCUCGGGAAAUUUGGGCUAUAAAGUGAAACGUCGUCACCAAAAGAUCAAAUAAUUGAAUAAAAGUUAAUUUUAUCAUGAGAAGGAAAAAACUUGCUGUUACAUAAGAUGGUGUCAUUAACCUGUCUGAUUCAUAUCUUCUAAGUGGCAUUGAUUCAGUAAUAAGAUGCAUUUACUACAACCUGGUAAUCUCCUUUAAGGAAAUAAGAACAGAAUGUGGUAGACAUUUAGGGAAGUAAGCGCCACUGAAAAGUCUUUACCAUCACAAAGAUCUUUUGCAAAAGAGGUUUGCUUACCAAUCAAGACGCAUCAAGUGGAUGCGAAAGCAGUGGUCAUUCAGCGCUGAAAAGGAAAUUGAAAGUAAAAGGUUUGAAAGGUGUAACAGGAGGAAAACCUCGCAGUUGCACUAUGAAUCAAUUGUUAGGAGAGGGUGGAAAGUAAGAUAGAAGAAAGAAUAUGAAUGGAGGUACAGUAAAAGGAAAGAAGGGGGUUGCAGCUGGGGGCCGAAGGCAUACUGCAAAGAACCUUAAGUAAUGCCCAUUCAUGAGGUGCAUUGAUGGCACUACCUCCCUACGGGAGAUAAUCUUAUUCAUUACGUUUUAACAUUGGAGUCAUUUGAUGUAGCUUUCUGGAAUUAGAAAUUAUACAUGAAUUCUGAUAGAAAGGAAUGACAUUUUUAUGGUCAUUGUCAAGUUAUUGGAUUCCAAGCAAUGUAAAUUUUAAGAGGUUAUUGUAGCUCAUAUCCAAAAAAGAACGUGUUUGAAUACCAUUUUACUAAAAGGUUCUUUCAACUAAUCGGCUAAUUACAUUAAAUUUGGACAACUUUCAAGUUAAGGUUAGACUUUGGUUUAAAGAAUGUAUUUCCAAUUUACCAGUGACAUCCUUUUUUUAACCUCUCCUGUAACCCUCUGUUCUUCAGCCAGCCGUUGUUCAAAAUCUUGAUUAAGUAGUCCACCAUUAUGUUAUUAUGGUUGUAAUGAAAGGAGACAUUUAUUGUCUUUAUAAAUGGAAAAAUAAAUUAUUUCUUAUUUUUGUUAGGCCAUGUAUUUUUUUUAUUCUAACACACGAUUUAUGAUAAUAUAAGAAAAAAGAAAUGUUUGGUUUAAUUUUUACCCAAGAAGGAACCUAUAUCCAUAUAUGCAAAUAAAAAUUGUGAUAAAAGGUAGAAAUAUAUUAAUAUAAAAGGAAUAAUAAAGUUACCUUUAUGCUUAUGCUUUUUCUUGUGAGUGAAUGCAAAUAAACACUUUUUCUUUUCUGUAUCCUACGCAUACAUGACGCAGUACAAUUACUGUUUCACCCAAGACA